rnacentral:pre_miRNA from 1 species
UAAAUACUCCCUCCGUUCGAAAUUACUUGUCGCAGAAAUGGAUGUAUCUAGAUGUAUUUUAGUUCUAGAUACAUCCAUAUUCGAGACAAGUAAUUCCGAACGAAGGGAGUAUAUC